rnacentral:rRNA from 1 species
GAUGAACGCUGGCGGCGUGCAUAACACAUUCAAGUCGAACGGUGAAGGGACUUCGGUCCCUGAUCAGUGGCGGACGGGUGAGUAACGCGUGAGUAACCUGCCUAUGCGUGUGGAAUAACACAGGGAAACUUGUGCUAAUACCGCAUAAUAUGUAUUUGUUGCAUGAUAGAUACAUCAAAGAGCAAUUGCGCAUAGAUGGACUCGCGUCUGAUUAGAUAGUUGGUGAGGUAACGGCUCACCAAGUCGACGAUCAGUAGCCGAACUGAGAGGUUGAACGGCCACAUUGGAACUGAGAAACGGUCCAGACUCCUACGGGAGGCAGCAGUGGGGAAUAUUGGGCAAUGGACGAAAGUCUGACCCAGCGACGCCGCGUGAGGGAAGAAGGUCUUCGGAUUGUAAACCUCUGUUGUAAGGGAAGAAGAAAGUGACGGUACCUUACGAGGAAGCCACGGCUAACUACGUGCCAGCAGCCGCAGUAAGAC